GACGAACGCUGGCGGCGUGCCUAACACAUGCAAGUCGAACGGAAAGGCCCUGCUUUUGUGGGGUGCUCGAGUGGCGAACGGGUGAGUAUCACGUGUGUAACCUGUCCUUGUCUUUGGGAUAACUUCAGGAAACUGGGGCUAAUACCGGAUAGGAGCUCCUGCUGCAUGGUGGGGGUUGGAAAGUUUCGGCGGUUGGGGAUGGACUCGCGGCUUAUCCGCUUGUUGGUGGGGUAGUGGCUUACCAAGGUUUUGACGGGUAGCCGGCCUGAGAGGGUGACCGGCCACAUUAGGACUGAGAUACGGCCCAGACUCCUACGGGAGGCAGCAGUGGGGAGUAUUGCACAAUGGGCGGAAGCCUGAUGCAACAACGCCGCGUGCGGGAUGACGGCCUUCGGGUUGUGAACCGCUUUCGCCUGAGACGAAGCGUGAGUGACGGUAAUGGGUAAAGAAGCACCGGCUAACUACGUG
rnacentral:rRNA from 1 species